AUGAGAUGUCUCGGAGUAGCUGUUCAGUCAGGCCACUGUGUCGAUGUGCCUGGUCAUCCGCUGACACUCUGCCGCGCACUUCAGUACCACAACUUCCACUGGAUGCCCAAGUACACCAUCUACCUUCAUGAUCGUCAAUUUGGCAUGGAGGACUAUGUGGCCGAGGUGCUGAUCCAUGCAAGAGAAGCGGACAACGACAACGGCCCCUACUGUUUCCUGGGUCACGGCACAAACAAGGAGAUGGCCAUCCAACAAGCUGCUCAUGUUGCCAUGGCACGUCUUCGCCAUGACCUUCCUGAAAUGGCAGAAGGGCCAUUAAAGUUUAUGCCGGCCCUUUCUUCCAGUGGCGAGGUUUUCUACCCCAACAACUUCAGCCCGAAGGACAGUUCCUCUACCGUGGCCAUGGUCCAGGCGAUGCACUCUAAGGAUCGGGAAUAUCAUGCAUACCUGUACGAGUUAUGUGAGGCUCGUCGCGCCCUCAAAGCUGUCAAGACCUUGGCGUCUCUGUAUGGCCUUCACUCCCCGGACGUGGGGCAUGAGGACCUCCUCGAUGGUGCUGGAGUUGCCUCAACUUCGAGAUUUCGCAUUCCUUCCAUUGACAGAGAAGUGCCAGAUGUCUCGAGCCUAGCGGGCCAGCAUCGGGGUGUCCCUGUUCAACCAUGCAACCAGGGAUAUCCUAGAUCUCCAGAUCACUGGGGGCCAUCUCAUGGCUACUAG
rnacentral:rRNA from 1 species